AGAGCAAUGAGUUCCUUGCCCUCUUGGCGGCCUUCCUCAGUUCUCUGGAAUGUGGUGUGUAGAAAGUGCUACCAGCCAGGGAGUCACCGCUGUCGCAGCUCCAGGUUUGUGGCUGGGAGAUGGAGAACUGAAAGGUCCUGCCUGCCCAGGGAAGCUGCAUCUCAAGUUUCUGGGCAUGGCCUCUAAUGGGGGAAAAUGUGAUAAACCCUUAGGUUCUCUAAAACCAUGGUUUGCAAAGUGUGGACCCUAGACCCGCAGCAUUAGCCCCACCUGGGACCUUGUCAGAAAUGCAGAUUCCCAGGCUCCGCCCCCAGUAUACUGAAUCUGAACUCUGGCGGUGGGGCCCGGCCAUAUGCCCUGCGAGUGAUUCUGACCCACAGUUGAGAAACACUGCUCUAAAGAAUGACCAGUGCACUUGCAGAUCUCGGAAUCAAUGAUAUUAGUGCUUCAGAUGCUUAUUUCAAUGAGGAAAAAUAUCUUACUGGAAAUUUACAGUAUAAAUAUAAGUUUAUUUAAGGUGGUAAACAAAUGCAUUAUAGGAAUUCAUUAUAGGAUGUUUAACAGUAACUCUAGCCUCUGCCCACAACAUGCCAGUAGUGACAAUUAAAAAUGUCCCUGGGGGGUUGGGGGGGGGGUGACCACAACUGAGAACCACUGAAUUAAAACAAAGCUAUAUAGUAGUUUAUUUAGCAGAUCUUCUCUGUGCUAGGUUUUCAGAAACAACAAAUAAGGAUCUCAGCCCAAAGAACCUUACAGUUUUAGGCAAACCCAAAUAUGUUACAGUAUUGUACGUGUUGUUAAAAAAUAUAAUGAAAUUCUAUGGAGAUGAUUAUUCCUAGGGUAGCUGAUGAAGACUUCACACGAGCAGUGACAUCGGACUCUCCAAAAUGAGAAGACAGAGAAGGACCUUUGAAAUUCAUGCGUAAAGUCUGGAGAUAAGUGCAUCUCAGGUCCAGGGAGAGAGAGUCUGACGGAGUACCCUCUGCCUGGAAGUCCAAGCAAGGCUACAAUGCAGGGGAUGGAUAGUUAUCCACAGGAAAAGCUUAUGGCACUUCAGCCACCUGGCUGUAGGAGCAGGCCUUUGCAGCAGAGAGAACAUCCUGGCAGCAACUAUAACAUCUGCCCGAAGAAGCUGACCCAUCCCAAUCCUUCCCAGGCUAUGUAUGCUAAGUGUUGAGUACCUUAUAAUAAUCCACCUCCCUUACAUCCUGCUCAGAGAGAGGAUAUUAUUUUACUCAAAAACUGGAAGACUAAAACAAUGAACUUGUAAGAGGCAUUGUUAUGAGGGCUACAAUUCAAGCUAUUAUUAUCCAACGAGCAUCUAAAACAACAUACUGUAGGAACUAGCAGAGAAUAACAUUUUAAGACUAAUAAGGACUAAGGUAUUAAUUUUACUUGAUAGGUUAAUGACUAGAAAAACAUUCUUAAUUUUCAGCAUUUUGUAAGCUGACAAAGGUGACAUUUCUACCAAUGACAUGUGCAAAUAUGAGGUAUAAUGAUUACAUUUAGUCACAGAAAUACUAUUUUAGAAUGAAUGGGACUUGGCUUAC